GACGAACGCUGGCGGCGUGCUUAACACAUGCAAGUCGAACGGAAAGACCCUGCUUUUGUGGGGUGCUCGAGUGGCGAACGGGUGAGUAACACGUGAGUAACCUGCCCUUGACUUUGGGAUAACUUCAGGAAACUGGGGCUAAUACCGGAUAGGAGCUCCUGCUGCAUGGUGGGGGUUGGAAAGUUUCGGCGGUUGGGGAUGGACUCGCGGCUUAUCAGCUUGUUGGUGGGGUAGUGGCUUACCAAGGCUUUGACGGGUAGCCGGCCUGAGAGGGUGACCGGCCACAUUGGGACUGAGAUACGGCCCAGACUCCUACGGGAGGCAGCAGUGGGGAAUAUUGAACAAUGGGCGGAAGCCUGAUGCAGCAACGCCGCGUGCGGGAUGACGGCCUUCGGGUUGUAAACCGCUUUCGCCUGUGACGAAGCGUGAGUGACGGUAAUGGGUAAAGAAGCACCGGCUAACUACGUG
rnacentral:rRNA from 1 species